rnacentral:rRNA from 1 species
UACGUAGGGGGCAAGCGUUGUCCGGAAUCAUUGGGCGUAAAGAGCGCGUAGGCGGCCCUGUAAGUCCGCUGUGAAAGUCAAGGGCUCAACCCUUGAAUGCCGGUGGAUACUGCAGGGCUAGAGUCCGGAAGAGGCGAGUGGAAUUCCUGGUGUAGCGGUGAAAUGCGCAGAUAUCAGGAGGAACACCCGUGGCGAAAGCGGCUCUCUGGGACGGUACUGACGCUGAGACGCGAAAGCGUGGGGAGCAAACGGG